CAAAUUCUUGGUCUGGCAGUGGUCAUGUUUGGCCACACUGGGCAAUACCAAACCAGUACCAAAGAUAGAUCUGCAUCCUGUCAUCAAGGUGCUAUUUUUCAAAUGCAGCAGCAGCACUGAGUCUCAACUAAGGUGUAUUCAUUUGAGAGGCAACUUCCAUCCUUGAAGAACAAGGGAACAACCAAUUGGAUAUUGCAGGUUCAAUUGAUGACAAACAUGCGAAAUUUCCACAUUAAUUUGGAUGUAGAAAGCUACUUUACAUACUGUACAUGCCCAUAUCACUACUUUGAAUAAUAAAAAUUUUCUGACAUUAGAAUAUAAAUUUUUUGUGUAAACAUUUACAUCAGCUAUGAUGUUUAUUUGUUAUGAGUGAAAGGUACUUUUAAUACACAUGCAAAUGGUGUUUACUUGCUAGAUCCCUGUGAAGUGAAAGAUCAGAACCUCUUA